UGGGGAAUAUUGGACAAUGGGGGCAACCCUGAUCCAGCAAUGCCGCGUGAGUGAUGAAGGCCUUAGGGUUGUAAAGCUCUUUCGGCGGGGACGAUGAUGACGGUACCCGCAGAAGAAGCCCCGGCUAACUUCGUGCCAGCAGCCGCGGUAAUACGAAGGGGGCGAGCGUUGUUCGGAAUUACUGGGCGUAAAGGGCGCGCAGGCGGCUCUGAAAGUCAGAUGUGAAAGCCCCGGGCUUAACCUGGGAACUGCAUUUGAUACUCUGGAGCUUGAGUACGGGAGAGGAUAGUGGAAUUCCCAGUGUAGAGGUGAAAUUCGUAGAUAUUGGGAAGAACACCGGUGGCGAAGGCGGCUAUCUGGACCGUAACUGACGCUGAGGCGCGAAAGCGUGGGGAGCAAAC
rnacentral:rRNA from 1 species